GAUGAACGCUAGCUACAGGCUUAACACAUGCAAGUCGAGGGGUAACGAGAGGAAAGCUUGCUUUCCUUGUCGACGACCGGCGCACGGGUGAGUAACGCGUAUCCAACCUGCCCCCAACUAAGGAAUAACCUUGCGAAAGUAAGACUAAUACCUUAUAAUUUCCUCAGAUGUCAUCUGACGAGGAAUAAAGAUUUAUCGGUUGUGGAUGGGGAUGCGUCUGAUUAGCUUGUUGGCGGGGUAACGGCCCACCAAGGCAACGAUCAGUGGGGGUUUUGAAAGGAAGGUCCCCCACAUUGGAACUGAGACACGGUCCAAACCCCUACGGGAGGCAGCAGUGGGGAAUAUUGGUAAAUGGGCGAAAGCCUGAACCAGCCAAGUAGCGUGCAGGAUGACGGCCCUAUGGGUUGUAAACUGCUUUUAUACAGAAAAAAAGUUAGCAACGUGUGUUUAUUUGUAGGUACUGUAUGAAUAAGGCCCGGCUAAUUCCGUGCCAGCCGCCGCCGUAA
rnacentral:rRNA from 1 species